rnacentral:lncRNA from 1 species
UAUAUCUGCAGUUUAAAUUUUCUCCUUUUUCAGUAAUUUUCAAUUUUAGGAGAAGCUCCGUGCACGUUGGUGGCAAGGAGGUGGGAUACAGAGCUGCUUCGUCGGAUGGCAAUAAAACCUUGCGAGGUUAGGUUGAGAAAACUUGUUUCUCUCUUACAGGAUCCAACCUACUGGGUGAAUAUUCACCACCUGGAGUAUACAGAUGGAGGAAUCCUGGACCCUGAUGAUGUGCUGGCAGAUGUCGUGGAAGACAAAGAUAAGGCAUGCCGCUUCUGGUACGAAGGAGCAGUGAUCCAGCUUUGGGCCCACCUGCUGACUUCCACCCAAGUGCCUCUCAUCCCAGUGACCUCAGUCACAAACAUGCUGUGGCAAUAGUGGGAUGGGCCUUCAAUCAUAUUUAAACCAACGUGUCAGUGAAAGUUUGGUGGGAUGCAGGAGUAAGCAGUGGGACUGUUUCUCUGAGUGUAUACUUCAUAAAUAAUGGGUCUUUCAGUUCUCACCCUCAGUGAGGUGAGUAAAUAGUAGCUUGCNAGGGAUUACCAAGUCAUGAUACGGUAAACCUUUAUUUAAAUAAGUC